rnacentral:tRNA from 1 species
GAGGCUGUAGCUCAGCGGUAGAGCACUUGUCUAGCAUGUGUGAGGCCCUGGGUUCAAUCCCCAGCACCACA